GGGCUACACACGUCAUACAAUGGCUGGUACAGAGGGUUGCCAACCCGCGAGGGGGAGCCAAUCCCAUAAAGCCAGUCGUAGUCCGGAUCGCAGUCUGCAACUCGACUGCGUGAAGUCGGAAUCGCUAGUAAUCGCGGAUCAGAAUGUCGCGGUGAAUA
rnacentral:rRNA from 1 species